rnacentral:tRNA from 1 species
GGAGAGGUGGCAGAGCGGCUGAAUGCGCCGGUUUCGAAAACCGGUCUGCCGAAAGGUAGCGGGAGUUCGAAUCUCCCCCUCUCCG